GACGAACGCUGGCGGCGUGCUUAACACAUGCAAGUCGAACGGAAAGGCCCUGCUUUUGUGGGGUGCUCGAGUGGCGAACGGGUGAGUAACACGUGAGUAACCUGCCCUUGACUUUGGGAUAACUUCAGGAAACUGGGGCUAAUACCGGAUAGGAGCUCCUGCUGCAUGGUGGGGGUUGGAAAGUUUCGGCGGUUGGGGAUGGACUCGCGGCUUAUCAGCUUGUUGGUGGGGUAGUGGCUUACCAAGGCUUUGACGGGUAGCCGGCCUGAGAGGGUGACCGGCCACAUUGGGACUGAGAUACGGACCAGACUCCUACGGGAGGCAGCAGUGGGGAAUCUUGCACAAUGGGCGGAAGCCUGAUGCAGCAACGCCGCGUGCGGGAUGACGGCCUUCGGGUUGUAAACGGCUUUCGCCUGUGACGAAGCGUGAGUGACGGUAAUGGGUAAAGAAGCACCGGCUAACUACGUG
rnacentral:rRNA from 1 species